rnacentral:rRNA from 1 species
GCUUGUCUCAAAGAUUAAGCCAUGCAUGUCUAAGUAUAAACAACUUUAUACUGUAAAACUGCGAACGGCUCAUUAUAUCAGCAAUAAUUUAUUUGAUGGUUUCUUACCCCAUGGAUAACUGUGGUAAUUCUAGAGCUAAUACAUGCUAUCAAGCCCGACUUCUUGAAGGGUUGUAUUUAUUAGACUUAAGCCAAUAUUCCUUGUGUCUAUUGCGAUGAUUCAUAAUAACUGAUCGAAUCUCAAAUUUGAGAUAAAUCAUUCAAGUUUCUGCCCUAUCAGCUUUCGAUGGUAGUGUAUUGGACUACCAUGGCAGUAACGGGUAACGAAGAAUUAGGGUUCGAUUUCGGAGAGGGAGCAUGAGAAACGGCUACCACAUCUAAGGAAGGCAGCAGG